rnacentral:rRNA from 1 species
UGGAUGAACGCUGGCGGCGUGCCUAAUACAUGCAAGUCGAACUAGUUCUGAUUAUUGAAAGGUGCUUGCAUCUUGAUUUAAUUUUGAACGAGUGGCGGACGGGUGAGUAACACGUGGGUAACCUGCCCUUAAGUGGGGGAUAACAUUUGGAAACAGAUGCUAAUACCGCAUAAAUCCAAGAACCGCAUGGUUCUUGGCUGAAAGAUGGCGUAAGCUAUCGCUUUUGGAUGGACCCGCGGCGUAUUAGCUAGUUGGUGAGGUAACGGCCCACCAAGGCAAUGAUACGUAGCCGAACUGAGAGGUUGAUCGGCCACAUUGGGACUGAGACACGGCCCAAACUCCUACGGGAGGCAGCAGUAGGGAAUCUUCCACAAUGGACGCAAGUCUGAUGGAGCAACGCCGCGUGAGUGAAGAAGGCUUUCGGGUCGUAAAACUCUGUUGUUGGAGAAGAAUGGUCGGCAGAGUAACUGUUGUCGGCGUGACGGUAUCCAACCAGAAAGCCACGGCUAACUACGUGCCAGCAGCCGCGGUAAUACGUAGGUGGCAAGCGUUAUCCGGAUUUAUUGGGCGUAAAGCGAGCGCAGGCGGUUUUUUAAGUCUGAUGUGAAAGCCCUCGGCUUAACCGAGGAAGUGCAUCGGAAACUGGGAAACUUGAGUGCAGAAGAGGACAGUGGAACUCCAUGUGUAGCGGUGAAAUGCGUAGAUAUAUGGAAGAACACCAGUGGCGAAGGCGGCUGUCUGGUCUGUAACUGACGCUGAGGCUCGAAAGCAUGGGUAGCGAACAGGAUUAGAUACCCUGGUAGUCCAUGCCGUAAACGAUGAAUGCUAGGUGUUGGAGGGUUUCCGCCCUUCAGUGCCGCAGCUAACGCAUUAAGCAUUCCGCCUGGGGAGUACGACCGCAAGGUUGAAACUCAAAGGAAUUGACGGGGGCCCGCACAAGCGGUGGAGCAUGUGGUUUAAUUCGAAGCAACGCGAAGAACCUUACCAGGUCUUGACAUCUUUUGAUCACCUGAGAGAUCAGGUUUCCCCUUCGGGGGCAAAAUGACAGGUGGUGCAUGGUUGUCGUCAGCUCGUGUCGUGAGAUGUUGGGUUAAGUCCCGCAACGAGCGCAACCCUUAUGACUAGUUGCCAGCAUUUAGUUGGGCACUCUAGUAAGACUGCCGGUGACAAACCGGAGGAAGGUGGGGAUGACGUCAAAUCAUCAUGCCCCUUAUGACCUGGGCUACACACGUGCUACAAUGGAUGGUACAACGAGUUACGAGACCGCGAGGUCAAGCUAAUCUCUUAAAGCCAUUCUCAGUUCGGACUGUAGGCUGCAACUCGCCUACACGAAGUCGGAAUCGCUAGUAAUCGCGGAUCAGCACGCCGCGGUGAAUACGUUCCCGGGCCUUGUACACACCGCCCGUCACACCAUGAGAGUUUGUAACACCCGAAGCCGGUGGCGUAACCCUUUUAGGGAGCGAGCCGUCUAAGGUGGGACAAA